AAAGUACUGGACAAAAAACUCUGAAUUCUAUAAACUAUUUUGGAAAGACAUCAAUAAAUACCUAAUCAAUUCAUUAAAUGAAGCAUAUAGGAAGGGUGAGCUAUCUAUAAGUCAAAAGCAAG